GUAGGUGAACCUGCGGAAGGAUCAUUAACACGUUUACCACGUAUUAACAAACUUCGUGAACUUUUUUGUCAUGGUCAGUUUUUCUCUGGGUGUGGCAGGAAACCAAGGUGAUUCUUGGUAGAUCGCUGCUCUUGGGGGGGACUGAUCGUAAGAUUAUGCGGUUUGAGUUAUGCAGUCGACUACCCGUUGAACCACACGUUCUGUGUACGUAGACGGUCCCGUCUGUAAUCACUCCGCACGAAAUCACUGA
rnacentral:misc_RNA from 1 species